rnacentral:rRNA from 1 species
UACGUAGGGGGCAAGCGUUGUCCGGAAUCAUUGGGCGUAAAGAGCGUGUAGGCGGCCUGGUAGGUCAGCUGUGAAAACUCGAGGCUCAACCUCGAGACGCCGGUUGAAACCAUCAGGCUAGAGUCCGGAAGAGGAGAGUGGAAUUCCAGGUGUAGCGGUGAAAUGACGCAGAUAUCUGGAAGAACACCCGUGGCUAAGGCGGCUCUCUAGUACGGUACUGACGCUGAGACGCGAAAGCGUGGGGAGCGAACAGG